rnacentral:rRNA from 1 species
AUUGAACGCUGGCGGCAGGCCUAACACAUGCAAGUCGAGCGGAUGAAGGGAGCUUGCUCCUGGAUUCAGCGGCGGACGGGUGAGUAAUGCCUAGGAAUCUGCCUGGUAGUGGGGGAUAACGUCCGGAAACGGGCGCUAAUACCGCAUACGUCCUGAGGGAGAAAGUGGGGGAUCUUCGGACCUCACGCUAUCAGAUGAGCCUAGGUCGGAUUAGCUAGUUGGUGGGGUAAAGGCCUACCAAGGCGACGAUCCGUAACUGGUCUGAAAGGAUGAUCAGUCACACUGGAACUGAGACACGGUCCAGACUCCUACGGGAGGCAGCAGUGGGGAAUAUUGGACAAUGGGCGAAAGCCUGAUCCAGCCAUGCCGCGUGUGUGAAGAAGGUCUUCGGAUUGUAAAGCACUUUAAGUUGGGAGGAAGGGCAGUAAGUUAAUACCUUGCUGUUUUGACGUUACCAACAGAAUAAGCACCGGCUAACUUCGUG